UUACUUUUUUUUUUUUAUUUUCAAAUCAUCAAGACAAAAAUUAGCAAGAUAAUUAGAAAGACAAAGCUUCUCCACAAACAAAACAUUAAAAGACAGUCAAUAAAUAUUUAUUGAUAGUUGCUGUAAAUGUAGAAAUAUAAAAAGAGCUGCUGUACUAAUUACAAAAACAUUAAUUAAUACACAGUAUAAGUUUUGUAAAAGAAGAAAAUCAGGCUCUGAUCAAAUUAAUCAAACUUUAUAUAACAUAAAGAAAGGGAAUUUUGUUUCUCAAAAUAAAUGCUUUAUCAGUGUAUUUUGUGUAUAAUCCAGGAUAAUUGCAAAAAAUAGAAAUAAAAGAAGGCUUUAAUUUCUACAGUAAUACAAAAUUAACUACAAAAUAGAAAGUAUAAAUUUUUUUCACAAAUAUGUAAUAUUUAAAAAAAUGGAAUGUUUUAAAAGCAUUUUAUGAAAUAACAUGCAUUUCAGUUAUAAUCAACAGUACUUUCUAGACUUCAAAGUUAAUUGCAGGAGAUAUUGUUUAUAAACUUUAAAUGCUAGACUGCCAAAAAGAAUUGACCUUUUUAUAUAUAAAUAUAUAUCUAUAAAACAUAGUAUAGAUGGCACUCAACUGAAAGGACAGAAAAAUAUCAACUCCUGGAAGGCAUUGUUUGUUAAAGCUAAGUGCAAAGUUUUGUUGUUGUUUUUUCUCUUUUUUUUACGCAUUGAUUCCCUCAAAAAUAACAGCAUGGAUUAACAUCAAGCAUUCACAAACAGUUAAGCUAUUUCUUGGAAAUUUGUUAAAUAUUGGGUAGACAAAGGAAUUACAUUUCUGUGGCCAACAGUUAACUAGGAUAUUGUGUGGCUAGAACAUCAUUCCUCAAAUUACUUUCAAAAUAAUCAGGUGAAAUCAGAGUUCACCUGCACUCCUGAAUAAAAUGCUAGCCUCCACUAAGACCCUCAUUAAGAGACACAGCACUUUAGCAGUUGACCCAUACCCUCAGAUAUCAUGAUGAUUUAAAAAAAAAAAAAAGCUACAGCAAAUACCACAUGUAAUAAUUAAUGUUAAUCAUCCAAUCCAUAUGUAUUGAAAUGACUAAAACAUGGUGUAUAAAGUAUGCUUUAUAUUGAGUACACAACCAGAAAUAUUAUAGAAAUAAUAUCACAAAAUAUUUAUCCCCCUCUGGUCAC